AACGCCGCGUCAAUCCAGUUCACCAAAGUCCUUUACGAAAUCCCCUCCACCACCUUCUUCAAAGUCUUCGCCUUCCACUAGAUCACAUCCUCCACCACCACCGUCAUCCCACUCUUCACCAAUGCCUCCUUUCCAUUCCCCACCGUCGCCACCACCACCGAAUUACUCUCACUCUUUAACUCCACCACCCCCGACUCAAAGAGUGUCACCAAAGACGCAUCUUCCACUGCCACCUCCGCCUGUUCACUACGAGCCCAUACAAUCUCCACCUCCACCACCAAUGGUACAACCACCUGCACCAGCCCCAUCAGGCCAUUACUAUAGUGCACCACCACCACCAAACCGUUACUCCAACGCCCCACCACCAAGCCAUUACCACAAUACACCACCCUCACCACCAAUGGAGCAACCACCUCGAACUCCAUCAGGCCAUUACUAUAAUAAUCCACCACCACCACCACAAUCACCAAACCAUUACUACAACAUACCUUCGCCACCACCACCAACAAAGAAUAUAUCACCAAGUACCCAUUAUGCACCACCUCCUCCCCCAUCUGUUCAUUAUGUUCCCACGCCUAGUCAUUCAUCUCCUCCACCGCCGCCACCUCAAGUUCAGUAUUUUCCACCUCCUUAUCCGUCAAGAGGGCAGCAAGCAAGUCCACCUCCACCACCAUCUCAUGAGCAUACGGGGACUCAAUCUCCACCUCCACCAGCAGAGUAUCAUCCACCUCCCAAGGAGUCAUGUCAUCCUAUCCCUCCUCCACCCCCACCAGAAUGCACAACUCCCGUAUCAGCACCACCACCGCCAAGCCAACAUUCAACCCCAUCACCAUAUGCACCAGCACCUGGUCAUCACUAUUCAAAACCAUCCCCAC
rnacentral:lncRNA from 1 species